UACGUAGGUGGCAAGCGUUGUCCGGAAUUACUGGGCGUAAAGCGCGUGUAGGCGGCCCUGCAAGUCGGGUGUGAAAUCCCACGGCUCAACCGUGGAAGUGCACUUGAAACUGCAGGGCUAGAGUCCUGGAGAGGAAGGUGGAAUGCUUGGUGUAGAGGUGAAAUUCGUAGAUAUCAAGCGGAACACCGGUGGCGAAGGCGGCCUUCUGGACAGUGACUGACGCUGAGACGCGAAAGCGUGGGGAGCAAACAGG
rnacentral:rRNA from 1 species